rnacentral:rRNA from 1 species
UACGGGGGGGGGCAAGCGUUGUUCGGAAUUAUUUGGGCGGUAAAGGGCUCGUAAGCGGUUUGUCGCGUCGGGAGUGAAAACACGGGGCUUAAACCCCUGUGCCUGCUUCCGAUACGGGCAGACUAGAGGUAUGCAGGGGAGAACGGAAUUCCUGGUGUAGCGGUGAAAUGCGCAGAUAUCAGGAGGAACACCGGUGGCGAAGGCGGUUCUCUGGGCAUUACCUGACGCUGAGGAGCGAAAGUGUGGGGAGCGAACAGG